AUGUUUAUGUUUGUGUUUGUGUUUGUGUUUAUGUUUAUGUUUGUGUUUAUGUUUGUGUUUAUGUCUGAUAUUCAUUCAUGGGUUCAAACUGUUUUCUGUAAUAUUAAUAAAAGAAACACAAAUACUUUGUGCUCUGGUAAUCUUUCUAUUGUUAAUGCACUUCAAUUAUUAUACUUACACCUUACUAAGGUUAACUGUCAGCCCUGAGUACUGUCUGCAGGUAUUACUACAGCCCUGAGUACUGUCUGCAGGUAUUCCUACAGCCCUGAGUACUGUCUGCAGGUAUUCCUACAGCCCUGAGUACUGUCUCAAGGUAUUACUACAGCCCUGAGUACUGUCUGCAGGUUUCACUACAGCCCUGAGUACUGUCUGCAGGUAUUCCUACAGCCCUGAGUACUGUCUGCAGGUAUUCCUACAGCCCUGAGUACUGUCUGCAGGUAUUACUACAGCCCUGAGUACUGUCUGCAGGUAUUCCUACAGCCCUGAGUACUGUCUGCAGGUAUUCCUACAGCCCUGAGUACUGUCUGCAGGUAUUACUACAGCCCUGAGUACUGUCUGAAGGUAUUACUACAGCCCUGAGUACUGUCUGCAGGUAUUCCUACAGCCCUGAGUACUGUCUGCAGGUAUUACUACAGCCCUGAGUACUGUCUGCAGGUAUUCCUACAGCCCUGAGUACUGUCUGCAGGUAUUCCUACAGCCCUGAGUACUGUCUGCAGGUAUUACUACAGCCCUGAGUACUGUCCUUUGCUUUUUAAAAACGAUUGAAAAUGUUGUAGUAUGCAUGUCAGGCCAGUAGGUGGUGGUGAAACUUUAUUAUUGAUUAUUGUUUUGUCCUCCGUCGACACAGAGGUGGAGAGAGUGUUUGAUGUAAUUAAUGCGUCUCUGCUGAUCACAGUUCCACAGUCCGCCAUCGUAAACAUUGCACUCUGGAACCCGGUUUCAGAGGUUUACAUUUUCAGGCUCUAAAAGGAGACCAAACCGGGUCCGGUGUUGUUCUCGCUCCAAACUAACUGCAACAGCGUUGGUUUUUAUAUUUUUACAUACAAACAUGAUGAAGUACAGUAAGUAAAUGUGGACG